rnacentral:rRNA from 1 species
UACGAAGGGUGCAAGCGUUACUCGGAAUUACUGGGCGUAAAGCGUGAGUAGGUGGUUUCUUAAGUCUGCUGUGAAAGCCCCGGGCUCAACCUGGGAAUUGCAGUGGAUACUGGGGAGCUAGAGUGCGGUAGAGGGUAGUGGAAUUCCCGGUGUAGCGGUGAAAUGCGUAGAGAUCGGGAGGAACACCAGUGGCGAAGGCGGCUACCUGGACCAGCACUGACACUGAGUCACGAAAGCGUGGGGAGCAAACAGG